CGCCGCCCCCCGCAAUUCUUUCUCGCGUAAAUUAUGCAAGCAAAGCGGCCGGAGCGCAUACGAGGACGGGAUGGAUCACCCCUACUGGUCGCUAGCCUCCUCGCCUUUUUGACGGCCUGGCCUGGCCGCGCCUCCUAUGCAACUUCCCGUCGCCAAUGCCUUCGCUCGCUGAUUGGCUGCGCCGCCGGCCGCCGCCGCCGAUUUGGUUAAGUUGACCCACCCGGAGACGCUUCUGCUGCCAGGUCGCCGCCAUUGCUUGCUGACACCCGCAUCACUUGCGAUGCGAUCGCCGUCGACAUUGACGUAGGUAGUACGCGAGAGAGAGAGAGGCCUCAAGAGAACACGUCAACGUUAACCUAAUGAAAAGAAAAGAGCACGUGGAGUACAGUAGGCUAGGCUACGCCAUCAGCUUUUUUUUUCUAAAAGUCGUGGCGUUUGUUGCCAACGCCACGUACUGGAACAAAAUCCACAAGCAUGGACGGCCGUCGAUCGCAUCAUCCAUCGAGCGUGACAAAACCAAACGCAUAAUACAACCAUAUACUACUGCUGAUCUGUAGUAGUAUAUAUAUACAACAACAACACAUGAGCACUGCGUCUGGCCUCUGGCGUUGUCUUGAGCAAAACAAAGCGGGGAGGGAAGUACACUCCAG
rnacentral:lncRNA from 7 species